rnacentral:rRNA from 1 species
CCUACGUGUGGCAGCAGUGGGGAAUAUUGGUCAAUGGGCGCAAGCCUGACCCAGCAACGCAGCGUGAAGGAAGAAGGCUCUCGGGUUGUAAACUUCUUUUAAGAGGGAAGAGAAGAAUUCGGUACCUCUUGAAUAAUCCACGGCUAACUACGUGCCAGCAGCCGCCGUAAUACCAGGGUGGCAAGUGUUAUCGGGAAUUCGUGGGCUUAAAGAGGGAGCAGGCGGCAGCAAAGGUCUGUGGGGAAAGACGGAAGCUUAACUUCAGUAAGCAGUAGAAACCGGGCAGCUAGAGUGCAGGAGAGGAGCGUGGAAUUCCAUGUGUAGCGGUGAAAUGCGUAGAUAUAUGGAGGAACACCAGUGGCGAAGGCGACGAUCUGGCCUGCAACUGACGCUCAGUCCCGAAAGCGUGGGGAGCAAAUAGGAUUAGAUACCCCUGUAGUC